AAAACUUCCAUUUUCUGGAAAAAGUGGAUUUAAUUAUGGUGUCCAAGGAGCACCGUGGAUCCUAUGAAAAACGCACCAGUCUGACAUAGCAUACCCA